GCCUAGCCGUAAACAUAAGCAGCCUCUCACCCCGCUGCUCGCCAGGGGACUACAAGCCCUAGCUUAAAACCCAAAGGACUUGGCGGUGCUUUAGACCCCCCUAGAGGAGCCUGUUCUAGAAUCGAUAAUCCCCGUUACACCUCACCCUCUCUUGUUCUCCCCGCCUAUAUACCGCCGUCGUCAGCUUACCUUGUGAAAGACAAAUAGUAAGCAAAAUUGGCACAGCCCAAAACGUCAGGUCAAGGUGUAGCGUACGAGAGGGAAAGCAAUGGGCUACAUUUACUGUUUCAGUAAACACGGAUCUUGCACUGAAACGAGCAUCUGAAGGAGGAUUUAGCAGUAAGAGGGGAAUAUGAGAGCCCCCCUGAAAACGGCCCUGAAGCGCGCACACACCGCCCGUCACUCUCCCCGACGGACCACUGCACAUAAAUAAUAUCUGCUCACCACAAAGGGGAGGCAAGUCGUAACAUGGUAAGUGUACCGGAAGGUGCACCUUGGAAAAACC
rnacentral:rRNA from 1 species